rnacentral:rRNA from 1 species
UACAGAGGUCUCAAGCGUUGUUCGGAUUCAUUGGGCGUAAAGGGUGCGUAGGUGGCGCGGUAAGUCGGGUGUGAAAUUUCGGAGCUUAACUCCGAAACUGCAUUCGAUACUGCCGUGCUUGAGGACUGGAGAGGAGACUGGAAUUUACGGUGUAGCAGUGAAAUGCGUAGAUAUCUGGAAGAACACCAGUGGCGAAGGCGGUCAACUGGCCCUAUACUGACGCUCAGGCACGAAAGCGCGGGGAUCAAACAGG